rnacentral:rRNA from 1 species
GCUCAGUAACACGUGAAUAACCUGCCCUAGGGAAGGGGAUAACCCCGGGAAACUGGGGAUAAUACCCUAUAGAUUACAGAUGCUGGAAUGCCCUGUAAUCCAAAGUUCCGACGCCCUAGGAUGGAUCUGCGGCCGAUUAGGUUGUUGUUGGGGUAAUGGCCCAACAAGCCCGUAAUCGGUACGGGUUGUGGGAGCAAGAGCCCGGAGUUGGAUUCUGAGACACGAAUCCAGGCCCUACGGGGCGCAGCAGGCGCGAAAACUUUACAAUGCGGGCAACCGUGAUAAGGGAACCUCGAGUGCCUGUAAAUGCAGGCUGUUCAGGUGCCUAAAACACACCUGAAGAAAGGGCCGGGCAAGACCGGUGCCAGCCGCCGCGGUAAUACCGGCGGCUCGAGUGGUGGCCGCUUUUAUUGGGCUUAAAGCGUUCGUAGCUGGGUUGUUAAGUCUCUUGGGAAAUCUGGCGGCUUAACUGUCAGGCGUCUAAGGGAUACUGGCAAUCUUGGAACCGGGAGAGGUGAGGGGUACUUCGGGUGUAGGAGUGAAAUCCUGUAAUCCUCGAGGGACCACCUGUGGCGAAGGCGCCUCACCAGAACGGCUUCGACAGUGAGGGACGAAAGCUGGGGGAGCAAACCGGAUUARAWACCCGGGUAGUCCCAGCCGUAAACUAUGCGCGUUAGGUGUAUCGGUGACCACGAGUUACCGAGGUGCCGAAGGGAAACCGUGAAACGUGCCGCCKGGAAGACG